rnacentral:misc_RNA from 1 species
AAACCAGUUAUCAUUCUGUAAGCCUGACAUAUUCACGAAAGAAUGCCAUAUUAUAUUCCAUUCAUAAAGUUAAUCUAGCAAUUCUAAACAACUGCAUGUUAGAUUCAAACUAGGUACAAUCUCCUUGACUCAAAUGAGAGCUUGUGAAACACCAUUAUAGGAGAUAAGCACAAAUACAAUCAAAAUAUAGCAACUUAACCCUUGUCAAACAACAAUAAAUUGAGUUGUAAGGAAGAAAGAGCCACCAUGAUUUGUCCUAAUGAUCUUCAACAUACAAGUGGAAAUAAAUUCAUGUUGCUUUUAAAUUAGCAUUAAAAGAUUAAUCAAGAGUUCUAUUCUUACAAAUUAAUUAUUUUUACAGAAUUUAGUGGUCCUGAAGCACAAGAAUAGUAGGCACAUUUCGGUCCACGCAAAGAAAAA